UACGUAGGUGACCAGCGUUGUCCGGAUUUACUGGGCGUAAAGAGCGCGCAGGCGGUCGAUCAAGUCGCGUGUGAAAGCCCCCGGCUCAACUGGGGAGGGUCACGCGAUACUGAUCGACUCGAAGGCAGGAGAGGGUAGUGGAAUUCCCGGUGUAGUGGUGAAAUGCGUAGAUAUCGGGAGGAACACCAGUGGCGAAGGCGACUACCUGGCCUGUUCUUGACGCUGAGGCGCGAAAGCUAGGGGAGCAAACGGG
rnacentral:rRNA from 1 species